GGUCCGUUGGUCAAGGGGUGAAGACACCGCCUUUUCACGGCGGUAACACGGGUUCGAAUCCCGUACGGACUA
rnacentral:tRNA from 1 species